rnacentral:rRNA from 1 species
UAGGGAAUCUUCCGCAAUGGACGAAAGUCUGACGGAGCAACGCCGCGUGAGUGAAGAAGGAUUUCGGUUCGUAAAACUCUGUUGUUAGGGAAGAAAAAAUGUAUAGUAACUAUAUACAAAAGAGACGGUACCUAACCAGAAAGUCACGGCUAACUACGUGCCAGCAGCCGCGGUAAUACGUAGGUGGCAAGCGUUGUCCGGAAUUAUUGGGCGUAAAGCGCGCGCAGGUGGUUUAGAAAGUCUGAUGUGAAAGCCCACGGCUCAACCGUGGAGGGUCAUUGGAAACUAAUAAACUUGAGUGCAGGAGAGAAAAGUGGAAUUCCUAGUGUAGCGGUGAAAUGCGUAGAGAUUAGGAGGAACACCGGUGGCGAAAGCGGCUUUUUGGCCUGCAACUGACACUGAGGCGCGAAAGCGUGGGGAGCAAACAGG